rnacentral:lncRNA from 1 species
GCGGGCGGCUCGCAGUGUGAGGAAGGUUGUGGGUUGGGCCCUUCCUGCUCUGGUGACGUCCCCGGACCGCCAUGGCCUAGGCCUGGGGAGAAACCAACCGGCUUUGCAGUCUUGCGGUUCCGCUCCUCUAAGAGGCGGGCGAGAUUGCUCGUUCUUCUGGAAGAAUGCAGUGACUUGAGGCCAAUGUGCGGGAAAGGUGCUGCCCUGUUUCUGAAACAGAGCCCUGUAGGUUUGUGAGGGCAGCGAGCCCCUUCGAGUUUCCUCACCUUGUUCUGGUGCUUUGUGCUGGAGAGGGAAGGUUAAUCCUUUAAGGCCUUUCGGCGGUACUUGCUUUCUUGUCAUUGGAAAGUAAUUCUUCCAUAAGCGCAAUUCCUACACGUCACCUCUGUGCGCUCCGGAAGGGGAUCCUCUUCUGUGGACGUGAAACUACCCGAGCUCUAAAUGCCACUUUAAAUCCUUAAAUGCAACCUUUUCUUCUGUGUAGGUGGGAGGGGCUUACUUGUACUCUGUUAGACUAAGGGAGGGCCCCGCAUUCGCGCAGCCAAAAAGUUGCCCAGGACAAAAUUGGAACGACCUGAGAAUCUGCUUUGCCUUCUUUUGUUAUUACACAGUUCCCCAACAGAAAUUUCUAAAAUCUGUUCAUGUAUUACUACAAAAGUCACUUUUGAUGUAGAAUUUCAAUCCUUUUCAGCUUUUUGUUUUGUUUUAGUUCCAGUGCUAGGGGAGUUCUAGGUUUGUUCUAGAGAAAAAUGCACUUCUUUUUUCUAAAACAAGACAUCAGUUUUACAGUCUUGCCUAAUGAAGUUUAAGGAAAACGGAGCUAAGGGCAAGUAAAAUUAGGAAAUCUGAUAAUGAUGGGGGUAGUUCUUUUUAAUAUACUGUAUUUUAAGAACAAAGUUAAAAUUUAAAAAGAGGCUGAGGAUGGAAAGAACUUCUUUGUUCUAUCUUCUUCAGAAUGUUACAAGUCUUAAGAACUCAGGACAAGCAGCAGAAAUACAUGCAACAUGGUGACUGGUGAGUUAAAAUCAUUCAUAUGCUGAAAAUAUGUGUGCAGUCUUUUUCCUAGUAAUAUUGAAACAUUACAAGUCCUGCCAAUCAUCCUGGGUGCUGUCUGACAGAAACUGCUAAGUGCUGGAAAAUUGAAGAUGGGGGAGAACUGCAUCUUUGAAUCCAGUAACAGUUUACUCCUUGAACAAUUUUCUUCUCUUGAAGUGUAAGCCAGCGCAACUUUCAGGUUUUAGCAUGAGGACACACCAGCUUUUCUAAGGAACUUAAAUGAUUGAAAUAAAAGCAGUGAAGUUUAAGAUGCACUUAAAAUUUAAAUAUACCUUUUAGGCCUGCUUGUUCCGGAACAUGUUUGUUUUUAACUAUUAAAUUUGAGAUGUGUCUUUUAAGUUGGUAUUUGUAGAUAAUAUUUUUUUGUAAGCUCAUUAACUUCAAUUUGCCUAUUAGGAGAUGUCCUACUUCCAGCCUUCUGUGAUGAAUAGUUUGUGUACCUCUCAGGAACCUUUUGCCUUUCCACCUCCCCUUUCCAAUUUUAUGUUGCCAUUUCACAGAAAAGAUCAAAUAAUGGUUCAUGUUUUUUGUGGAUUUGAAUUGCUCCAAAAAGGUAACCAAAUGUCAGGGGCUCUAGGUGUCGUCUAUCAUGACAGCUUCAGAAUCAAGGAUCUCUUCCCUCAAGCUUGCAUGGUUUUAAUUUAAUCAAUUGUGUUUUGUCCUCCCUGUGCCAUGCUUGCUUGUCUACUUUUUAAAUGGCGACCCUUUAUUGGCAGAGGUCUUUUAUUUCUCAACCUUAGAAUGAGAUGUUACACAAACACCUGUUUUUUUGUGUUACUUUGUACUUAGUUGCCCUGAUUUUGUUACAGAUGUUUUAAGUCUUCUCCAGGCUUUGCUUAAAUGCUUCAUUUGUCACACUGGAUUGUGAUUUCUGGUUGUGGCUGCAUGAAGAAAUGAUAGAUUAACUUCUUGCUUUGCUGAAAAGGGGAAAAGAAUGAACCUUUGAUGUCACACUUGAGGCUAGAGCAAAAUUGUAGGUAGAGCUUGUGGGCUGUAUCAGAAAGCUUUUUUUGCUUUUUGAUAUAUCUAUCAGUAAAUUCAGAUGAUCUGUAUAAAAUUUAAUGAAAAGUUAUAAGGUGAACCACUGUGUAACUAUCACCUCUUCAAGAAAUAGAACAGUGCCAGCCCCCUGCACCCUUCAUGGGUCCCUUCCUGGUCAUAGCUUCUCAACCACUAGAGAUAAUUACAAUUCUGACUUCUGUGAUAAUCACAUUCUUUAUUUUUCUUUUUAUUUACCACCUUCAUAGCCCUCAAUGUAGUUUUAUUUGCUUUUGAAUUUUUGUAAGUGGAAUCAUGCUGUAUUUUAUGGUUUCCUUCUUUUAGCAUUGUGAAAUUUAUCCAUGUUGUGUGCAGCUGUAGUUCAUUUAUUCCUGUUUCUUUAUAGUAUUCAGCUGUGUGACUAUACCAUAAUUUAUUUAUCUAUCGAUUCUACUAUUGAUAGACCUCUAGAUUCCUUCCAGUUUGCAGCUGUUAUAAACAAUGAACAUUCUUGUAUAAGUACCUUUGUAUAUGUGUGUAUCAUAUACCUAGGGGUAGAUUGCUGAGUUAUGUGGAAAGGAUAUUGUCAGCUUUAUUAGUUAAUGCAAAUGGUUGUGCCAGUUUACAGCCCAUUGAUCUUUGGUGGGAAUGUAAAUUUAUGUUUCUGGUUGAAAGUGUGUUGUCCAAAAAUAGAACCAUGGCAAAAAUGCCCCUAAAUCAGGGUCUCCUCUGGUAAAAGUAUGGAACAGGUGAAUGGCCCAAUGAGGUAAUAGCUAUCACAAACCCUGUAUUGGGUUAGUAUCUUUAAGAAUAGAGGUGUAUCUCCCAAUUUGCUUCUUUGAAAUGACUCUUUAUGUUAAUUAGAACAAAUGUGACUGUAAUUCCUUAAAGUAGAAAUUGAUUUCUUUUUUAAUGUGAAUGUGUUCUUCAAACCAGAUUUAAAAAGCUAUGAGGAGCUAUUGCUAGAGUAGAUGCGAACGAACCUUAAGAGGGGCCC